GCACAACAAAAGCCCCCAGAGUGCCCUGUGAGCUUGUGCUCUGCUAGUUGUUUGUACCAACUUAAUGUAGGAAGAAGCAUUUACUUUUCUAUGUUGCUACAGAAGCAGCCACUGCUAAAUCAGUGGUUCUCAACUGGUCUCACUCUGGGACCCACAUUUUCCCAUGGUCCUAAUGUCACAACCAUAGAUUGUAUAUACUAUGGACAACUUGGUUCUGCCCUCUGCCAGUAUACAGAUUUGAAGCCAAAAAGCUCUUCCACGUUUUCUCUCUAUUUCCUAUAACCAACAUUGCGCAGUAGCAUUGUAUGCAUUCGGCAGGAGAGUCGUCGAGAGUCGCUGUGAUGACGCUCGGCUCAAACAGUGUAUCCCCCCGGGUAAGCUACGCAAUCCUUGUACGCCCAUAGGCUGUAUCAAGUGUCAGUCAUUGAAAACAUGAACCCCCUUAUAACUUUUAAAAACUGAGCUGUACAAAAAAAGAGGACUUGAGCACAAACCAGUCUCACUGUAACUAUAUGUCAACAUUGCAACCAGGAGGGAGAAAUAUUUAUAUCUUGUGUAAUAAAUUUCUAAAUUUUGUCCCCAGCCCCAUAAGCUUUGCUGGCGGAGGUGGGAUUUAUGACCUAUACUGCAGCCCGUCACCAGAGGGUGCUGUUCUGGGAGUGGCUUCACCCAGCGAGGAGGAAGACGGCGUCCAUUGUAUAUACAGUCUAUGUUCUCAACUGGUCUCACUCUGGGACC